rnacentral:rRNA from 1 species
AGAGUUUGAUCCUGGCUCAGGACGAACGCUGGCGGCGUGCCUAAUGCAUGCAAGUCGCACGCACCGCUCUUCGGAGUGGUGAGUGGCGCACGGCUGAGGAACACGUGGAUACCUGCCCGCGCGUGGGGGAAAACGCAGCGAAAGCCGCGCUAAUCCCGCAUACGGUUCCAGUCUUGACUGGAAAGAAAGCUGAGGCGCGCGCGGAGGGGUCUGCGGCCCAUCAGGUAGUCGGCGGGGUAACGGCCCACCGAGCCGAUGACGGGUAGCUGGUCUGUGAGGACAGACAGCCAGACUGGGACUGAGACACGGCCAGACUCCUACGGGAGGCAGCAGCAAGGAAUUUUCCCCAAUGGGCGCAAGCCUGAGGGAGCAACGCCGCGUGGAGGACGACGGCCUUCGGGUUGUAGACUCCUUUUGGGGGGGACGAUGGUGACGGUACCCCCCGAAUCAGCCCCGGCUAACUCUGUGCCAGCAGCCGCGGUAAGACAGAGGGGGCAAGCGUUGUCCGGACUGACUGGGCGUAAAGCGCGCGCAGGCGGUGCGAGGCGUCGGUGCUGAAAGUCCACCGCUUAACGGUGGGAUGUGCGCCGAUACGCUCACGCUGGAGGGCGGGCGAGGGUGGUGGAAUUGCCGGUGUAGUGGUGAAAUGCGUAGAGAUCGGCAGGAACACCAGUGGCGAAAGCGGCCACCUAGCCCGCACCUGACGCUGAGCGCGACAGCGUGGGGAGCGAACUGGAUUAGAUACCCAGGUAGUCCACGCCGUAAACGAUGCCGACUCGGUCCUCGUGGGGCGAAUAGCCCUGGGGGGGCCCGAGCUCACGCGCUGAGUCGGCCGCCUGGGGACUACGAGCGCAAGCUUAAAACUCAAGAAUUGACGGGGGCCCGGACAGCAGCGGAGCGUGUGUUUAAUUCGACGCAACGCGCAGAACCCUUAC